GCCUUCAUGGUGUAGUGGUCAGCACGUUCGACGCGUAUUCGAGAGGUCCGUGGUUCGAGUCCCGGCGAGGGAA
rfam:Stegodyphus mimosarum contig69861, whole genome shotgun sequence.